GUAUUUGGGAAUGGUCUGACACAAUCUGUCUAUAAAGCAAGAUGCGUCUGUGUGUGGUUAUGUGGCUCACAUUGCUCUGACUGUUUGUCAGAUCAGCCUCAGCUUUCAGAUAUGGUUUGCACAUGA